rnacentral:rRNA from 1 species
GACGAACGCUGGCGGCGUGCUUAACACAUGCAAGUCGAACGGAAAGGCCCUGCUUUUGUGGGGUGCUCGAGUGGCGAACGGGUGAGUAACACGUGAGUAACCUGCCCUUGACUUUGGGAUAACUUCAGGAAACUGGGGCUAAUACCGGAUAGGAGCUCCUGCUGCAUGGUGGGGGUUGGAAAGUUUCGGCGGUUGGGGAUGGACUCGCGGCUUAUCAGCUUGUUGGUGGGGUAGUGGCUUACCAAGGCUUUGACGGGUAGCCGGCCUGAGAGGGUGACCGGCCACAUUGGGACUGAGAUACGGCCCAGACUCCUACGGGAGGCAGCAGUGGGGAAUAUUGCACAAUGGGCGGAAGCCUGAUGCAGCAACGCCGCGUGCGGGAUGACGGCCUUCGGGUUGUAAACCGCUUUCGCCUGUGACGAAGCGUGAGUGACGGCGAUGGGUAAAGAAGCACCGGCUAACUACGUG